AAUGUUUACGAGUUUCAGUCAUUGUUUGUGUAUUUUAAGUAGUACAUUAAUUUCGUGUAGUACGUCUAUUAUUGCAUGGGAGAUUAUUUUUGCUCUAAAUUUGAACUCUAAACUUGAACAUGUACCUAAUAAUUAUGUGAAUGAUUAUGAAACUGAAAUUUGGGAAAACAAUCAAUCCGCUAUAUAACAGGAAGCACAAAAAGUAUAGUUACCCUAACAUUGUUGCAAGCAGAAGAUUAGUUUAUGAUGUUGGUGAAACUAUACUGUACAAGAGGCUUUGUAAUCUGUUUUCUAAAUUGGCUCUACUACUGCCAAGGAACGUCAGUAAGUUUAAUUACAGACAAUGGAAAAGAUACACUUUCUGGUCCGUACUGUCCAAUAACUGUUAAACUUAUCUGCAAUGUUACGAAUGUUGCUAAUAAUGGCAGUAAAGUGGACAUGAUAAUUUUCGAUUUUCAACCUGAUCAUAAAGUAACUUUCGACCCUAUCACGACUGAUUUUUUAGCAUUUCCACUUGUCCAGCUAACACAGUUCAAUGUACAUAAAAACCAAAACAAUCAGACUCGGAUUAAUGCUUCAACUAUUCUCACUGUUGAUCUCUCAGAGCUCUACAACCAGAAUAUUAAAUUAUUUUCUUGUGGUUCUGCUGUAAAUAAGGCAGUACCAGUGAAUAUCAGCAUCUUGCAGCCAACAUUUCCUUCUGUUAGCCCCCAAGUUUAUACAGCUGCAUGUGAUUGUACGUUAUGAGUCUGGACUUGUAUCUAGUGUAGAUGUAUCAUGGAGGAAAUUUAAGCAACCAGAUUGUCCUGAAUAUGAAAAUUCUUAAGAAUACCUCAUCAAUAUCACUGGAUGUGGGUGGACAUGGACCAACCAUAGCACCUGUAAAGAUACUAUUUGCUCAUCACUUUUCAGUAAUUGCACAAAGUAUGUGAGAGAAAUUACACUACAAGCCAAGAUCGCUGACAUUGAGAGUGAACAAGUAGUCUAUUCCACAUCUGUAGAUUACUAUAAUCAAUAUUUCCGACCUGCUGUCAGUCGUCGAAGUGCCAAAUUCAUGUUCAGUGCUCAACUAUUAGAUAUUUUAGAGGGAAUCAAACGUGUACCAUUCGAUACACUACAGAUCCAGAGUAUGGAAAUCUAUCAAAUCCUAUCACAACUCUAGUUGGCACAGCACCUGUCUCACUUUCACUUACUACUCCUGGUACUGUGUACUACUUUGAGUUCUCUGUGUUGAUGAAUGAUACCUUGUUGAUUGUGGAAAGAAUGGAGUACAUGAUUACAGGAUCGGGAGGUAUGAGUAUAUAAAGUAACAACUGCUUUUGUGAGCAAGAGUCGUAUAAUUAUAAUGACAAAUAAUUAUUUGCAAUUGUAUACUAAACUCCGAUUACUAUUGAGAAUUAGUUCUCACCUCUCACCGGCCUACAGAGUUAUUCCAGCUGAGUGUAAGAGAGGGUGCUAUCCUUACUAUUGUAUCAUCAUUCUUAGGAUGCUUUAUAGUGCACACUACAAUAAUACUGUGCCUGUUAAUAGCUCGGAAUGCUAACGGUGAGUAUAUUAUCGUCACUACAUGAAGCUAAGGCCACCCACUUCAUGCAUGCACACAAUAUCCCGAUUGAAUGUGUUCAUCAUUACUAACAAACGCAUUCAAAUCUCGAUAACACUGAUCCUCUUCAUGCUGUUUAUUGGAUGUAGCACUCUGUUGACAGCCUUUGCCAUUAUUUCAAACAAUGUGUGUUUCACAAACCAACAAGUUCCCAACAGUUUGCUUGAUGCAAUGUUAGUACUUUCAUGUGUUGGGAUAGGAAUCCUUCUCCUCUAUUGGGUCUUCAAAACAUCCUCUAUUGGGUCUUCAUAACAUACAAAGUAUAUAAACAGCGCACUAAAGGAAACAAGCUUGAAAACAAAUCUCAUUGUGACUAUGCUCUUAGCCUGAACAUCAAUUCAAAAACAGUUCAAUAUAACGCUCAAGAGUCAUUCGAGGUGAUAAUCUAGACAGAAUUUAAUUUAUACAUUUGCAUUUGCUAUUCAGAAGCCACCUGAUUCUCAAGAAUGCCAGCAUUUGGAAGAUAUGCAUCCUGAUGACGUUGAGAAAAUGGUUCCAAUGCAGAAGAAGCCUUCGAAUGGCAGCUAGCUAAUGACGACACCUAGUAGGAAAUGUCCACCCUCUACACUUCCCAAACAAAGAAAGUCAGGUCAGCAUUCCAACACUGUUUUGUACGAUGAGGUUGGUUUAGCGAAAAUCAAAGGCAAUGUCUCGGAUAUGAAAGAAGUUGAGUUGAAAGCUAACGAGUCUUAUGGGCACACAGUCAAAAGGUUUUCAACUGCCAAGAGCAACGUGGCUGCUUGUCCACUAUGUUUGUCUCCAGGCAGCAAAAUCCAGCAAGAUUUGUCAUUAAAAUCAUCAGUACAGCGAUCUCAAAGUGACACCAAAGAACGAGCAUCCUAAGCAAAAUACUAUUGAGCAAGAGCAGAUAGAGUUGAAGUCUAAUCAGUCAUAAUAUGGUCAGCUAACAAGUGCUGUUGGUCAGAUAGGGGGAUGUGAACCACUGCACGAGUACGACUAUAUAUACGUGGACCCCUAUAGUAACUCACAAGACAAUUCAUUAAAUAACUGCCAUAUAGCAAACUGUAACAUAUUUGAGUGCAUUGCGUUUUACGAUA